rnacentral:rRNA from 1 species
ACCGGCGCACGGGUGAGUAACGCGUAUGUAACCUACCCUGUACAGGGGGAUAGCCCGGAGAAAUUCGGAUUAAUACCCCAUAAAAAUAUUUUAAGGCAUCUUGAGAUAUUUAAAGCUUCGGCGGUAUGGGAUGGGCAUGCGUAACAUUAGCUAGUUGGUUAGGGUAACGGCCUACCAAGGCUACGAUGUUUAGGGGUCCUGAGAGGGUGAUCCCCCACACUGGUACUGAGACACGGACCAGACUCCUACGGGAGGCAGCAGUGAGGAAUAUUGGUCAAUGGACGGAAGUCUGAACCAGCCAUCCCGCGUGCAGGAAGAAGGCGCUAUGCGUUGUAAACUGCUUUUCCAGGGGAAGAAAACCCCCGACGUGUCGGGGCUUGCCGGUACCUUGGGAAUAAGCAUCGGCUAACUCCGUGCCAGCAGCCGCGGUAAUACGGAGGAUGCGAGCGUUAUCCGGAUUCAUUGGGUUUAAAGGGUGCGUAGGCGGACUUAUAAGUCAGUGGUGAAAACCUGCAGCUUAACUGUAGACGUGCCAUUGAUACUGUUAGUCUU